CCUACGGGGGGCAGCAGUGGGGAAUUUUGGACAAUGGGCGCAAGCCUGAUCCAGCCAUGCCGCGUGCGGGAAGAAGGCCUUCGGGUUGUAAACCGCUUUUGUCAGGGAAGAAAAGGUUCUGGCUAAUACCUGGGACUCAUGACGGUACCUGAAGAAUAAGCACCGGCUAACUACGUGCCAGCAGCCGCGGUAAUACGUAGGGUGCAAGCGUUAAUCGGAAUUACUGGGCGUAAAGCGUGCGCAGGCGGUUAUGCAAGACAGAGGUGAAAUCCCCGGGCUCAACCUGGGAACUGCCUUUGUGACUGCAUGGCUAGAGUACGGUAGAGGGGGAUGGAAUUCCGCGUGUAGCAGUGAAAUGCGUAGAUAUGCGGAGGAACACCGAUGGCGAAGGCAAUCCCCUGGACCUGUACUGACGCUCAUGCACGAAAGCGUGGGGAGCAAACAGGAUUAGAUACCCUAGUAGUC
rnacentral:rRNA from 1 species